rnacentral:lncRNA from 1 species
ACUUUGUCGUGAUCCUGGAAGCUGUCUUGGUUUUUCAGUGCUGUUGAAUAUCAUUCUUUGUGUGCGAUGUUGUGUGUGUAAUUCCAAUAGAAGACGGAAUUCAAGUACAGAAAUACGUCAGUACCUAUGCCAUAAAGCAACUAGAAGAUAGUGCCAUCGCUCUGCAGCUCACCUGGAUGAAUACACCUGAAAUUAUACAAGAUUUGAUAUUCAAAUUUGUUUUCUGCAAAAUUACCGAGGACUAACUGAUGAUUAUUAUUAUUACACAAACCUAAAAUUCUCUGUUUUAAUAUAAAUCCUCGCAGAAAACCAGCUGUCAAAACAGUCUAUCCUAGUUGUUAGGGGCGACCAAUCGGAUUGGGUGGUCGGACGAGUGUAACGGCGGUGUUGAUCACCGUUUUAAAUAACAAGUCUGGUAACGGGAGACGGAACCCAAAUACGGAAUCAGAAAAUCUGAAUGACGAACAGUCCAUGCCUUUACAAGUAUGUAAUUCUUUUAACUCAGCAGAAAUGAAAGUAAAAAUCUGCUAUUGGAUCUUGAAAUUAUGUGAUUUGAUCCUCUUAAAAGCUAAAAUGAUUGAAAAUCCAUACUAGCCAAACUGUAUUUUGAGGUCAUAGUAUUCACCAUUCAAGACAUCAGGAGGUUCAGUAUAUUUACAGGUAGUUUGCCCUUUACACCAAUUUGAAUCAGAUUCGAUGUAAACCUCAUCCUUCUCUCUAGUCACAGAGACAGAAAUUGCCAAGAUUUUGAAAAGGAUGUCCAGCUAAAUCGUGCUAUUUAGAUGCUACGUCCACUUGGCUUCUGAAACAGUUAGCUUCUGAACUUACUCCAGUGUUUACGAAGAUCGCCAAUCAAUGGGGAAAGUUGAAGGAUUUCUCAAGCCACCACUAGUCACUCUGGUGCUAAAGAAUUCAACCUUUACCCUGAUAUGGUCAAUCGGUUGCUGUCAAAACUUCCAUUUCUGUCUAAGCUGGUAAAACAUGUUGUGUCAGCUCGUCUUCAAGAACAUAUGAACAUCAACAACAUAUGUGAAACUACGCAAUCCGCAAAUGAAUGAGAAAAAUGACGGCCUCAGUCCUGUAGAUUCCAAGGGUGCCGCUGUUUUGGUUUGUUAGACCUAUCAGCGUCCUUUGACACUACAGACCACACCAUUCUUCUGGCCCUCCUGGAAACUCGGAAUAGAAGGUAGUGAGUUGGCAUGGUUUCAGUAAUACCUGACAAGCUGUUACCAAUCCGUGGUAGUUAAUGAUUCGAGAUUCAGUAAAACAUCACCUCCAACAUGAUGUUCUCCAGGGUUCAGUCUUAGGACCUGUGGUGUUUACUACAUACACGUUACCUGUAAGAGAUAUAACCAUAAGGCAUGGGCUAUCCUUCCAUAUAUAUGCAGAUGGUGCAUAGUUGUACCUUAGCAUCAGAACUCGACUAACUACCUAAAGGUAAUCGACGCGCAUUAGUUUCAGACAAUGUUACCUGGAAUAGUAUGAGAAAUCAAGAGAGCGUAUUGUCAACGGACAAAGCACGGAAUUGAGAGUUACCUUCCACUCUUCUCCGGGGACUGAGCGUCAUACAAAUACUGUAUUCAAGACUGAAUGUUAUCACCCGUUGGAUGUCGCAUCGGCUUAACAGUUGCUGUAUUCUGACAGUUGCAGUUUGCAUAGCUUCAAUUCUAGCAUCUCCAAAUUGCAAAAACUGUCUGUUUGAAAAGUGUGAUGAAGACGGAAUAUGUACUGACGGGUGUGAGCCA